rnacentral:rRNA from 1 species
GGAACUGCAUCGAAACUGGCAGGCUAGAAUCUGUAGAAGAGGGUAGAAUCCAGGUGUAGCGUGAAAUGCGUAGAGAUUUGAAGGAAUACCGGUGCGAAGCGGCCCCCUGGACAAAGACUGACGCUCAGAUGCGAAAGCGUAGAGAGCAAACAGGAUUAGAUACCCUGGUAGUCACGCCGUAAACGAUGUCGACUUGGAGGUUGUGCCCUUGAGGCGUGGCUUCCGGAGCUAACGCGUUAAGUCGACCGCCUGGGGAGUACGGCCGCAAGGUUAAAACUCAAAUGAAUUGACGGGGGCCCGCACAAGCGGUGGAGCAUGUGGUUUAAUUCGAUGCAACGCGAAGAACCUUACCUACUCUUGACAUCCAGAGAACUUUCCAGAGAUGGAUUGGUGCCUUCGGGAACUCUGAGACAGGUGCUGCAUGGCUGUCGUCAGCUCGUGUUGUGAAAUGUUGGGUUAAGUCCCGCAACGAGCGCAACCCUUAUCCUUUGUU